GUUUAUUGUCCAAUCACCGAAUGUUUUAGUAGAUUUUAAAAAGGAGAGACAAUUCCAUGUUCGCGACAUAACGCGCCAUCGCCGCAGUUUUUUUAGCGCGUACGCUUAGCCGGAGUUGUCCUAUUUUCAAGCAGCACAGGACUUUCCAGCAAAUCUACGACUGCUUGCGAGUGACAACAGCACCGACUCGAGGGAUCUGCCAGUUCUGUGGAGAAGUAUUCGAUAGGAGCACGAGGAAGUGAAAAGCACGAUGGGCGGCCUCUGUUGCUGCUGCAUGCCUUCGCUGUCGGAAGUGGACGAGCGGUCGGUGCUUGCAUCUCGGGCGGAAGCCAUAGCCGCUGAGCCGGUGUACCGACCCAUCGCGUCCAACAUACCCGCCUUUAAUCAACCACCGCUGGUUCCAAAAGCGCCGCCACCGCAACCCCUGGUUACACCACAGCGACCCGAAACAACCAGGGCCCGGCUCAUGACUUUCAGUGAGCAGGUGCCGGUAUCCCACUCUGAAGACUUGGUAAAGCAGCGCUCUUCGUCUGACGCCGAAGUUAACAGGAUAGAGGGGCCCUUGUUAACUUCGAGCCCUAAGAUCGAAGGUCAGAAGGCUUCGUCUGACGUCGGCCCCAGCGGCUGCUGAGAGAAGCCCGUCACGUCUGGCUUUGUAUACGAGGUUUGGUUCCUGCUCUUCAGACCAACGCUUUGGCCCAGGUAUCCUCGUCCUGCAUGUUAAGUCUUCGCUACGGGGCACAUCUGCUUUCUUUUUUUAAUCAUCCGCGGCUUGCUGCGUGGCUUUAAAACUAUGUACAUACACAAACUGGAGUGCGCAUGUUUUUCAUUCUGGCACCCCUAUUCGUGGAAUAAAGCUUUGAUUUUAGCCUUCA